AAUAAGUGCAGUUUUACAUUAUUCACGUUCAACGUUUGACCGUUUAUCUUAUUUGAAAAUUUUUUAUUAUUAAUAUUUUUAUUGCUAUUAGAUGAUAAAACAUAAAUAGUACUUUAUGUGUGACUAAAUAUUUUCAAAUUUUUCGCAAAUUUUUGAAAUAAGACAGAUGGUCAAACGUUGGGUACGGAUAUCCACGACGGUAAUUAUU
rfam:Oryza sativa Japonica Group DNA, chromosome 3, cultivar: Nipponbare, complete sequence.